GACGAACGCUGGCGGCGUGCUUAACACAUGCAAGUCGAACGGAGUGGCGAACGGGUGAGUAACAAGUGGGUGACCUGCCCUGCACUUCGGGAUCAGCCUGGGAAACUGGGUCUAAUACCGGAUAGUGUGGGAUGGGGCCGCGGCCUAUCAGCUUGUUGGUGGGGUAAUGGCCUACCAAGGAGGCGACGGGUAGCCGGCCUGAGAGGGUGGACGGCCACAGUGGGACUGGGACACGAGCCAGACUGCUACGGGAGGCAGCAGUGGGGAACAGUGCACAAGGGGCGGAGGCAUGAAGCAGGGACGUCGCGUGGGGGAUGACGGCCUUCGGGUAGUAAACGCCUUGCAGCAUCGACGCGGUAGAGGGAGAAGAAGCACCGGCUAACUACGUGCCAGCAGCCGCGGUAAUAC
rnacentral:rRNA from 1 species